rnacentral:rRNA from 1 species
CAGCAGCCGCGGUAAUACAGAGGGUGCAAGCGUUAAUCGGAUUUACUGGGCGUAAAGCGUGCGUAGGCGGCUUCUUAAGUCGGAUGUGAAAUCCCUGAGCUUAACUUAGGAAUUGCAUUCGAUACUGGGAAGCUAGAGUAUGGGAGAGGAUGGUAGAAUUCCAGGUGUAGCGGUGAAAUGCGUAGAGAUCUGGAGGAAUACCGAUGGCGAAGGCAGCCAUCUGGCAUAAUACUGACGCUGAGGUACGAAAGCAUGGGGAGCAAACAGGAUUAGAUACCCGGGUAGUCCCUGUCUCUUAUAC